UUAGAAGGACAGGACUCGAACCCGCACCUAGAAGCUCAAAACCUCCAGCACUUCAUUGUACUACCAUCUA
rnacentral:tRNA from 2 species